ensembl:lncRNA
UCCUUAGCCAAAAUUGUCUCAUGCAGCUUUUUAAAAAGAAAAAUUAGCAAAAACAGAGAAUAUCUGCUGUAUGUCUCUGCAUGACAAUUCAUCUGUUUACAUUUUUCUAGCAACUGAAUACCUACUAACCCUACUUGUCAAAGAUUUAUUUAUUUAUUUAUUUAUAAUUUUGGGAUCAGUCUGUAGACCAAAGACUUAAUAAUCAUUUUUCAGUGUACCAUAAAUGAUGAAUAUGGUCUUGAUAAGGUAGCAGGUAAUUGAGAUGCUGGUAAGCCCAUGACUAGCAGCUGGAUUCCUUUCCUCCUUUCACUUUUCUUGCGUUAACAUAAGAAAAAGCUGUAGUGUAGAGGCAUGAGCAUGGGCAAAACAUGCUGUGGUUUAUGAAUUAUUAAUCUAUAAUAGUUGCCCUGGGCAGACUCCUCUCUCUUAUUGCAUUUGUGGUAGCAAAGGCUGUUCUCAUUCAAAGGCAAGCAACUUAAUGUGAAUUUGUAUUUACCAAUGAAUAAUUGUGCAAAUGAUCUGAUCCUUUGUAAAUUCACUCUUUAGCUGGCUUUGUUCAUAAUUUCAUUUAACUGACCGCACAUAAAGCUUCCUAUCUUCAUGUCUUUUACCAGUGCAGGAGGGUACUUAUGUCAGUUUACAUGAGAAAGUGGGCAAGUCACAUCAUUAGGAAGUGCUGGUACACUGGUAUAACUAUAUUUGCACUAAAACUGUAGAAUGUAUAUUACUAGCUCCUUUGUUGUUGCAAACGACAUAGGCUAAUGCAAAGCCUGUACAUAGAUUGGAUCUAAUAUAUACGCUACUGUAGAAUAUAAAGCUGCUCCUCCUCUGCUAAAUAAUAUUGAAUAGUAUGCACACAGAUCAUCUCUCUAAGCAGAAAACCCAACAUUUGGCUUUUAAGUGGCCUCAUGAUUGCUGGAACAAAGACGCAUUAGAGAUGAUUCACACUUUGUCAUCUUCACAGAAUUGACUUCCAUUUUUCAUGUGUUAAUUUUUUUGUAGGUUGAAAUACCAGCUAAUUUCCUAGAAAUUGAUCCACAUUAUAUGACAGUAAGUGAACAAACAACAACUAAUGAGCAAGUCAGUUUUCCUCACUGAAAAGCAAACAAAUAAAAAAUAAAUUAUUUUCUUUAUUAUUUGAAGGCUGACUAAUGAACCACAUUAUUUGAAAUGCAAACAGUUUUACACUAUAUGCUUCGAGAACCAGCAAGUUAAUGGUAGCCACAGUCCUGUUUUCAGCUGUAUUGUUUAGUCAGUCUAGCAAAAUGAUCUGAAAUGGAGAAUUAUAACAUUUUUGAGCAUCAUGAAAAAAUACCAAGAUACCAAGAAUGUUAGAAAAAGCAAUAUUUUUUUGUCUGCCUAACACCUACUUAUACAAAGAACAGUAGAUGCUGCUAUCAUUGCUAGCUACAAAUAUUUAUAUAAAGAUAAAUCAAGGGUACUGUGAAGUGCUUUGAGUUGCUGCCUUUGGUAUAGUUUCCACAGAUCAGAGGAACAAGCAGUUACAUCCAUACUGAAUAACUGCAGAGUUCUCAGUUACCUGCCCUGAGGAAGCUAAUCUCCAGCCAAUCCAGAGAUCAGUCCAGAAGGAACUGUACUUCUGAGAAGCCUGAGAUGCUCUGAUAUAUCCAGUGUGUUCUGACACUCAAAAAAGCCAGGCGUGUACAGGAGAAUACUGUUGAUGACAGUGGCAAGUACUAGGUACCCUGGGCAAUCAGUCCAGAAGACACACAGCUUCUCUUAGUCUUCCUACAGGUGGAUCAUGUGGGACAGAGACCUUUAAUAGCUCAAAGCUCUUAGAGGAACAGUUGUAUUUUCUCACUGUUUCAGUUCUGCACUCACUCUUUGCGUUUCUGAGAUAUUUUCUAUCUAGAACAGCAAGAUAACCAACCUAUCUUACUGGGUGAUCUGUGUAAUUUAAUUGAAAGCUUUGUUUCAGCUUUGCCCACCUUGCUUGUGCUUAUUGGUAGCAGUUUCAGAAAAGAAUAAUUAUUUCAUUUUCAAUCUCACCAUUCAUAUUCAGGUCAACAACAGAAGUAUGGGCCAGUGGAGGAACAAGGAAAACUGAGAUUACUUUCUAGCUCCUAGUCACUUCUUUUUAUCCUUAAAUUGAGCCAAAAUUAUACAAAAAGCUUUCGUAUUUUGUGGUAUACUCUAGAUUUAAUGACAGAAUCAAGUACAUUAUUAUUUGUUCUUUUUAACUGCACUAGAAAUUAAAUAAAUAAUAGA